GAUAAACGCUGGCGGCGUGCUUUAUGCAUGCAAGUCGAACGGUCUCGAUUUAUCGAGAUAGUGGCAAACGGGUGAGUAACGCGUAAGUAACCUGUCCCUAAGUAGAGGAUAACUCUGAGAAAUUAGAGUUAAUACUGUAUGUAAUGCUGGAGGUAAGGCUCCAGCAUUAAAGCCUUCGGGCGCUUGGGGAGGGCUUGCGUCCGAUUAGCUAGUUGGUAGGGUAACGGCUUACCAAGGCAGUGAUCGGUAGCUGGUUUGAGAGGACAUCCAGCCACACUGGGACUGAGAUACGGCCCAGACUCCUACGGGUGGCUG
rnacentral:rRNA from 1 species